AACGAACGCUGGCGGCAUGCCUAACACAUGCAAGUCGAACGAGACCUUCGGGCCUGGUGGCGCACGGGGGCGUAACGGGGGGGGACCUGCCCAUAAGUUCGGAAGAACGCGCGGAAAGAGGUGCGAAUACGGGAGCAUGUAUUCGAACCGAAGGUAGAUCGCAUUUGGGGGGGCCCGCGUUGGAUUCGCUAGUUGGUAGGGUAAAAGCCUCCCAAGGCGACGAUGGAUAGCGGGUUUGAGAGGCUGGGCCGCCACACUGGGACUGAGCAACGGCCCAGACUCUUACGGGAGGCAGCAGUGCGGAAUCUAGGACAGUGGCGUGUGUCCUGAUCCUGCUCUGCCGCGUGAGUGCUGAAGGUCUUAGGGUUGUAAAGCUCUUUUACCCGUGAUGAUAAUGACAGUACCGGGAGAAUAAGCUCCGGCUAACUCCGUG
rnacentral:rRNA from 1 species